rnacentral:rRNA from 1 species
AGCGAACGCUGGCGGCGUGCCUAACACAUGCAAGUCGAACGGGAAAGCGAUAAAUCCCUGGUAUUGUGGCGUACGGGUGAGUAACACGUAAGUAAUCUACCCCAGACUAUGGAUUAAUCGGCCGUAAGGCAGGCUAAUACAGGAUAGAGCGACAGAAUCCGUAAUUGGGUUUUCAGGGGAAGGUAGCCUGUAAAGAGGCUUUCGUUGCGGGAUGCGCCUGCGUUACUUCAGUGAGUUGGUGCGGAAAAAGCUUACCAAGGCAAUGACGGGUAGCUGGGCUGGUGAGACGGACAGCCACACUGGGACUGAAACACGGGCCAGACUCCUUCGGGGAGGAGCAAGUGGGAAUCUUGCGCAAAGGGCGGAAAUCUGACGCCACAACGCCGCGUGGGGGGAGGAAGGCUUCGGGGUGGAAAGCUCGGUCUAUUGGGACGAAAAUGCUUGGGGUUCACAGCUCGAGGAACUGACGGUACCACUAAAAGAAGCACCGGCUAACUCCGUG